UACGAAGGGGGCUAGCGUUGCUCGGAAUCACUGGGCGUAAAGCGCACGUAGGCGGCUUUCUAAGUCAGGGGUGAAAUCCUGGAGCUCAACUCCAGAACUGCCUUGAUACUGGAGAGCUCGAGUCGGAAGAGGUGGAGUGGAAUCCGAGUGUAGAGGUGAAAUUCGUAGAUAUUAGGAAGAACACCAGUGGCGAAGGCGGACUCACUGGCCGGUACUGACGCGUGAUGUGCGAAAGCGUGGGGAGCAAACAGGGAGUUAAGAU
rnacentral:rRNA from 1 species